ensembl:lncRNA
CUCAGCACCCCGGACUGAAGCACUGGCACAGGUUGCUCAGAGAGGUGGUGGUGCCCCAUUCCCGGAGACACACAAGGUCAGGCUGGAUGGGGCUGUGAGCAUCUGAUGGAGCUGUGGGUGUCCCUGUUCACUGCAGGGAGUGGGACCAGAUGGCCUUUAAGGGUCCCUUCCAACUCAAACCAUUCUAUGAUUCUAUGGUUCUAUGAUUCUUCCUAGAGAAGCUGUGGAUGCCCCAUCCCUGAAGGUGUUCAAGGUCAGGUUGGAUGGACGUCUGGACAUCCUGAUCUGGUGGAUGGCAACCAGCCCUUGGUAGGAGCAUUGGAACUGGAUGAACUUUGAGGCCCCUUCCAAUCCAAGCCAUCCAUGAUUCUGUGACUUGGGAGCACCUUCCUGGGAACUCAGCAGUCCUAAAUGCAGACUAGAGAAACUGGACAGAGGGAGAUGGAGAAAUACUUAGAGCCAGCGUUUCCCCAUAAAUGAGUCACCGGUGUAUGCUGUGAACACAAGUGUGGCCCUCGUGAUCCGUUUUCAUUGCAGAACCAAAGAAACAGACCAAAAGGUCCAGGCUGCAGUGGGGUUGAUGCAUUUUUGCAUGAAAACAAGCAGAGAUGCAGAGCUUCAUCCCAUGUGUCCUUGGGAGAAGUGGACAAUUCCCCAGAUUUCCCCAGUGCCAAAAUAUCACUUUUGAAGAAUGUUUUCUUCCUCUUCCCCACUACCUCUCCUCUCUCACAACCUCCCCUCCUGUUUUCUGGUCCUGGAGGUGCUGAAGAGAACAUCAUCCCUUCCUCCCAUGUUGCUGGAAGGAAGCAGAACGUAUAAUGCUAAAUUGUGAUGGGGGGGAAAGAAAAAGGUGAUCAAUGGAAUUCACUUUUUUUUGGGGGGGUGGGGGGGCUGGGAAGAGCAUCCUACAGCUCUGUGCACUGAGCACCCAGGGUCCAGGUAGUGGAAAUAACUCUGCAGCAAAAGGGUGGCCCCAUCCCAGGGUAUUUUCCUUUAUUUCAGGCUCCUCAGCUUGGAGAGGCGUGAAUGCAGCAGGUGGGGAGGUGUGGGGUGAGGGGGGCAUCCCUCCUCUUGGGUGGGUGCCCAAAUUGUCGGGUGCUCCGACCACCAGCAACACACCACUGCCGAAUCAGGGAUGAGUUCUGCCAUAGGGCCACAAAUAAUAUACAUAUAUAUAGAGAGAAAGACAAACGGAAAGAAAACGGGCCACCAUCCUGGAUUUUGAGCAAAAAUAACAAAGAAAAAAAAUAUAUAAAGAGAAUGGAAAGAAAUGGAGCUUUUCUAGAAAGCCCAAUUUCUAGAAAAACUCCUGCACCCAGGGAGACAAUGAGCCCCACGCGGCGCUUCCUCCCAUUCCUGCAGCGGAUGUGUUUCUCAUUUGGGCUUUGUUUUGUUUUCUUUCUUUUCAUUUCCCCCUCCCUUUCCCCUUUCCCCGCUCUGCCCAGCGGGAUGCAGCCAAUGGCCCCAAUGGACAGACAACGGAUGGACAACGGGACGCGGCCGCUUGGUUCCAUGAGCAACACGAGUUUUGGAAGAGCGUGCCCUCCACGCCGCGGUGUUUUGCAUUAAAAGGUCCGGGGUACGGAUAGUGUUGCAGCAGCAUCUUCAAAGUCUCAUGGCUUUCAAACACAGCCGUGCACACAUGAGCCCCUCCCUCGCGGCCGUCCCUGUCUCGCAUUACGCUGGCAUUUUCUUUGGGGAUGAACAGGGGAGAGACUCCGGCGUAGUUUAUUUUCCUUCCGAGCAGGGGCCGAAGGUGCGGACGGCGGAGGAGAAAGGAGGAGAAAGAAGAAGGAGGAGGAGGAGGAGGAGGAGGAGGAUGAGGCCGAGGAGAGCGGCGUGACCGAGCGGCGGGCUGCGGGCCAAGGCUCGCACGCUCCAACGCCGCGUCCGCCCGGCCCGCC